UACAGAGGGGGCAAGCGUUGUUCGGAAUUACUGGGCGUAAAGGGCGCGUAGGCGGCCUUCUAAGUCGAACGUGAAAUCCCCGGGCUCAACCCGGGAACUGCGUCCGAGACUGGAAGGCUCGAAUCCGGGAGAGGGAUGUGGAAUUCCUGGUGUAGCGGUGAAAUGCGCAGAUAUCAGGAAGAACACCUAUGGCGAAGGCAGCUCUCUGGGACGGUACUGACGCUGAGACGCGAAAGCGUGGGGAGCGAACAGG
rnacentral:rRNA from 1 species